GCCAGCUCGGCUGCGGCCCGAGCAGCGGCGGCGGGCUGCCGGCUGGACGGGAGCAGGGAGGGCCGGUUCGGGCGGGCUGCUUGUCCCGUGAGCCUGGCACGAGGACGGGAGAGCGGGAUCGGAUGCGGAGCCCGCACGCCGCCCUGCCCCGGUUUCGUUCCGAGGCGGGGGGCUCGGCGCGUGGAAAGAAUUCCGGCGGCUGCCACGACUCGCGUGCAAGCAAAACUGAGUGAAAUGCUGGCUUCAUUCUCUUACUGAUCUCUGCGAAAGGAUCCUGGGGGUAGCAGUUUUGGAAGCGUGCUCCCCCCUACUGCAAAGUCUAGACCUCCUGAAUCAGAAAGCCUCAACUCAGAAGCCGCUGCUCUGCUCU
rnacentral:lncRNA from 1 species